CUUCCCCCUCUGGACUUCUUGUUAGGUUGGGCACAUCAGUAGCUGAGAGACUCCUCUGACCAUGGCCAGCCUCAGGAAGUGAGUGUCAACAGCCUUGCAGAUGGGAACUCAACUCCUGGGUACCCAUGCCUGAAAAGACGUAAGUCCUGCUCCCACCGGCACCAGACCCCCUGCCCUCCCUCUACCCCAAUACUAGAACUCCAGACCUCACCCCUCCUCCCCAGAGACAUAUCAGCAGGAAGUUAAGUCAGCUGGAACACUUUGUUCCCUUGACAUUUCUGUUUUAAUUCUGCAGCUGUGUUUAAGGCUUCAUGAAUUAUCUGUCCAGCACGGUCUGUUUGUCUGCCUAGUGCCUCUUCUCCCACUUCCCUGCACCAGGUCAUGAUUACCCUAAGGCUGGUAGAGCAGAACUGGAACUAGGGUUGGUAAGAAGGAAGUGGGAUGGUAAGAAAGGGCAUUAGGGACUGUAAUAUUAGCUGUUGAUGAGCUAAGGAUGAUGAUCUGAUUGCUUGCUCAAGGAGGAGGAAUUCCUAAAUCAUUAACAGUGUGCGUUGCCGAUAGCUCUCUUUCCUCACCCUCUCAUGGUAUUUAUCUCUACAUCACAUCAUAGUGAUGAAUAGGUGUGUCUUUUCUCCUCAGUAUUCUAUAGUGCCUACUUACAUGCCUUAUUCAUGCUUAUUCAUGUUCAGGAAGCAGUUGGUAAUUGAAGGAAUGAGCCUUCUCGCCUUCCUUUUAUCUCAAGUCAGCUUAUCACUUAAAAACAAAAACAAAAACAAGCCAUAGCUUCCAAAUUCAACUUGGUCCUGCUCAGGGUGGUAUUUCUUAAUUUCUUAUAGCUGCAAUUCACAGGUCUGUAUCCUUGCUUGCCAAUGUCUGUUUUGGUAUUCAUGGUAGUUGGCUCUGAGACAUAUCAGAGCACUAUAUUGUUCUUUCCUGGUUGCUUUUUCUUCUGCUUCUCAUCAAAGUCUAGAGAGAAACUCAGUUUCUAAAGCCAUUAAGAACCUAGUAGGAAAAUGGUGAUUAGUCUCUCCAAGUUCUUCUUCCUCAGCAGACCCACGAAGAGUGUUCUCCAUUCACUGGUCAAUCAGGCUCACAUGUGUGAAACGUCAAGGUUGGCCUUAAAGGACCACCCGGGCAAAUGACUUAUCGUUAGUUACGUGAGCUGGGUAUGUUUUGUCAACCACCCCGCUUGAAACCUAAGCAUGAGAGAACGUAGCUCACAAGACAGGUAUGGCCCCAUAUGUCUCCAUAAGCCCACAUCUAGAAAAUACGUAUGCAGAUUUUUCUGUUGCCAGUUGGUCAUCCUGAGCUAUCAUUUCUAAUGUGUGACUAGUUUCAACCAAAUUUAAUAUUUUAAAACCAGUCUCAAAGCCCUAUAUUUUAAAAAGUAAAACUAUAAGUGGGCCUGGCAUGGUGGCUCACGCCUGUAAUCCCAGCACUUUGGGAGGUUGAGGAGGGCAGAUCACAAGAUCAGGAGUUCAAGACCAGCCUGAUUAAUAUUGUGAAACCCCAUCUCUACUAAAAAUACAAAAAUAAGCCGGGCGUGGUGGCACGCACCUGUAGUCCCAGUUGCUCGGGAGGCUGAGGCAGGAGAAUCACUCGAACCCGGGAGGCAGAGGUUGCAAUGAGCCGAUAUCAUGCCAUUGCACUCCAGCCUGGGCAACAGAGUGAGAUUCCAUCUCAAAAAACAAAAACAAAACAAAACAAAACAAAACAAAACUGUAUAAAGCCCACAAUUAACAUUAUACUCAACAGUGAAAAACUGAAAGCUUUCUUUUUUUUUUUUUUCUUUCUUUUUU
rnacentral:lncRNA from 10 species